rnacentral:rRNA from 1 species
GACGAACGCUGGCGGCGUGCUUAACACAUGCAAGUCGAGCGGUAAGGCCCUUUCGGGGGUACACGAGCGGCGAACGGGUGAGUAACACGUGGGUGACCUGCCCUCAGCUCUGGGAUAAGCCUGGGAAACUGGGUCUAAUACCGGAUAUGACUCCAUGACGCAUGUUGUGGGGUGGAAAGCCUUGUGCGGCUGAGGAUGGGCCCGCGGCCUAUCAGCUUGUUGGUGGGGUGAUGGCCUACCAAGGCGACGACGGGUAGCCGGCCUGAGAGGGCGACCGGCCACACUGGGACUGAGACACGGCCCAGACUCCUACGGGAGGCAGCAGUGGGGAAUCUUGCGCAAUGGGCGAAAGCCUGACGCAGCGACGCCGCGUGAGGGAUGACGGCCUGG